CCUACGGGGGGCAGCAGUGAGGAAUAUUGGUCAAUGGGCGCAAGCCUGAACCAGCCAUGUCGCGUGCAGGAAGACGGUCCUAUGGAUUGUAAACUGCUUUUAUACGGGAAUAAUGUGAUCUACGUGUAGAUCUUUGAAGGUACCGUAUGAAUAAGGAUCGGCUAACUCCGUGCCAGCAGCCGCGGUAAUACGGAGGAUCCGAGCGUUAUCCGGAUUUAUUGGGUUUAAAGGGUGCGUAGGCGGACUAAUAAGUCAGUGGUGAAAUCUUGCAGCUUAACUGUAAAACUGCCAUUGAUACUGUUAGUCUUGAAUUUAGUUGAGGUAGGCGGAAUGUGUUGUGUAGCGGUGAAAUGCAUAGAUAUAACACAGAACACCGAUUGCGAAGGCAGCUUACUAAGCUAUAAUUGACGCUGAUGCACGAAAGCUGGGGAGCGAACAAGAUUAGAUACCCUGGUAGUCCACGCCGUAAACGAUGAUUACUCGUUGUUGGCAAUACAUCGUCAGCGACUGAGCGAAAGCAUUAAGUAAUCCACCUGGGGAGUACGUUGGCAACAAUGAAACUCAAAGGAAUUGACGGGGGCCCGCACAAGCGGAGGAACAUGUGGUUUAAUUCGAUGAUACGCGAGGACCUUACCUGGACUUAAAUGUAGAUUGACAGGUUUAUAGAUAGACUUUUCUUCGGACAAUUUACAAGGUGCUGCAUGGUUGUCGUCAGCUCGUGCCGUGAGGUGUCGGGUUAAGUCCCAUAACGAGCGCAACCCCUAUCUUUAGUUACCAGCACGUCAUGGUGGGGACUCUAAAGAGACUGCCUGGGUAACCAGAGAGGAAGGUGGGGAUGACGUCAAAUCAGCACGGCCCUUACGUCCCAGGGCUACACACGUGUUACAAUGGUCGGUACAAAGGGCAGCUACAUGGCAACAUGAUGCUAAUCUCUAAAACCGGUCUCAGUUCGGAUCGGAGUCUGCAACUCGACUCCGUGAAGCUGGAUUCGCUAGUAAUCGCAUAUCAGCCAUGAUGCGGUGAAUACGUUCCCGGGUCUUGUACACACCGCCCGUC
rnacentral:rRNA from 1 species